CCCCGUCUCCCCAGGCCCCAGCCCCCACCGGACAAACCCUAGUCUCACCAAGCCCCACAUCUCGCGCUCCUCCCUCCUCCAUUCUCGUUAGUCGCCGCCGCUGCCGUUGUGCCUCCCUCCUCUCUCCCCUACAACCACGUCCCCGGGAGGAAGCCGCCGUUCGUGGCGCCAUGCCGCUGCCGGGGUGUUGCGCACGUUUCGUUCCCCACAGCCCCUCCCUCAUCCUCGCUCAUCACCGCCGCUGCCUGCUACUCCCGGGGCGGCCGAGCGCCAACGGUGCGGCAAUGGCUGUUCCAGCAGGCGAGGGCGAGGGCGCAUGCGUUAGGCGUUGGGUGCGUGGACAAGGAGGGAGGAGUCAACUUGAGGGAGGAGAUGAGAGAGGUGAGGGUUGGCAGCGAUUGCAGGGAGAGGAGGAGUCUGGAGGCAACAGACGAUUUUUUAGGGUGGUCGGCGACCUACAGCCUACAGGGAACGUCCGUAGCAGCAGCAGGCGACCUGCAGCAGCUCCUUCCUACCUUCCAUGGACGAGCUCUUCGGAGACGCCGUCUAGCCCGACCACGGCAACGACUACCCCACGCACAAGAGGAAGGUUGAUUCAUUUGUAAAAUUCAUUCCACCGAAGCCAUCUGCUCCGUCCACCAACCCGCCCAGAAAGGUAGUUACAGUGAAUUGAUGUUCGCACUGAGGCCGGAGGCGAGAGUUGAGGGCACGGAGGUCGGUGGCAAGUGCUCAGGAGAGAAGAGGAAGGCGGCGGCGCUGGGCGGUGGCUGCGGUUUACACGAGAGGGAGGUGACCUGCCCAGAAAGCUCUGGGAUGAUUUCUUCCAUGUUUAUGGAGGGGGAGGACGCCAACUACUAGGAGAAGGAUCAGUUUAGCAAGUACAUGAUGUAAUUCUCUUAUGAUUAUGGAUUGCUGAGAAGCGCAACCUUUUGAUCUUCGAGAACCGCAAGUUUGCUGACAUUGAAAAUACAUUCAUUAUGCAAGACGAAUGGUGAGAAAUGUGUUAUUCCCUAUCCUUCCAUUCUAUUUGCAUAUUCGCGCAGUAUGCUUAGUUUUUUUCCUUUCAAGAUGAAUAUUCUACACAUGAGAGCAAUAUACUUGGUAUUAUUGAUGCUCAUAUAAUUCCUGGACCUGGAAUUGUUGAUGGCUUGAGGCUUAAAGUAUGUUAUGUGUUGCAUACCUAAUAAAUAUUAGAAAGCUAAUGUUGCAGCUUGACAGAUGCUGUGAUAACUUCUCCUUUUUUUGUUUGUUAAUAUCCACUUCGAACUGAGCAGCCAUGAUCCGGAUUUCCUCUAUGUAGCUAUGAGAUGCAUGUCGUUCGUUAUUGUGUAUCGUUUGCUAAAAUAUUGAUUAUUUGACAAUGAACACAUGGCAAUGCCUUAACUAUUCAACUUGCCUAGCUCAGAAUUUUAACCAAUAGAGAAGUUUUUUUGUUGCUUACCCUUUUGUUAGAUAUUUUGCUUUUUGUAUGUUGAGGGGAGAUGGAUAUGGCCUCAGGACUAAACGCACAGACCACAUGAAGUGAUCUGAUGGAAGGUAAAGUAUUUUUUAUUGGCAAUGCUAAUGUCUGGACCAUCUCAAUGGUUUUAACUCUAUGAUGUUCAGUUUAGCAUAUCACAUGUACAAAUGCAUAUAUACAAAUUGUGGUAGGCAACUCACUAUUUAGACGACGCGAGUAUUCUAUUGAUAAGGAGUCCCACCAUACUCAUGUGAGAGUUAGGCGUGGUAGUGGGUAGUAUUUUCUCAUCAUCCAUUAUGUGUUUCUUCUGUCUAGCUCGAAGUUGCUUAGUUAGAUAAUGAUUCGCAAAUUCCAGCAUUGCAUGUUGCCUGACACUUUUGCAUUAGCAUUGAAUUGCAGCCUGCAUUUUUGUAGCCCGCGAGGCGUGUAAAUGUUGGACUAUUGUUUCUCCGCUGAUGCACAUGUUUCGCCACAGAGACAGUACUCUGUGUGUGUGUGAUCUCUGGAAUGAGUUUUUAUGUUUCUCUGUGUUGAGUACUUUUGUAAUCUCCACGGGUGUGUUUCGUAUUUUCUAUGUAUCCUCUGUCAUUCUUUUAAGUGAUUAAUGUUUUCUUUUGUAGUUUUUGAUAUUUAGGUGCAGUCACGUUUCAUUUGUCACAGACCUGUACCCGUUAGGAAAAUCAUAGUUUCAUUUUGAUCAUGUUUCUUUAAGUUGUUCAGUGUUUGUUCAUUAUGUAGUAGAGUAAGAAGUACAUUUUGUCCAUCAGUUAAAUCACUCAUGUCACAUUCAGUUUAUUGAUUUGGUUUAGUUUUUGUUCCUUUCUCUUCGUUCCUUCAGUUUUUUGUUCCUUUAUUUAGUCAUUGUGCUUGCAUCAUUUGCCAGUAUUUUAGUCCAUCUCAAUAGACCCCUAUGAUUCUUGAUAGUUUAUCUCUUUCAUAGAUCAGACUUUUCCACUUUGUUAGUUAGUCUAAUUUAUGCUUUUUUCAAUUUUUAGUCUUUACAUGAUUUAGUUGGACAGUGUGUUUGGUAUUUCAAUAGUUCAGUAGUUUCAUACUUUCAUUUAAUUAAAUAGUCUUGUUUUUAGUCUCAGUACUUCAGGUUUAGUUUCCAAACAAGUACUUUUUUACUCAUGUGGUUUUCGGUCUUUUGACUAUAUGUGGUUUUCAAUCUUUUCAUCUCUUGGUUUACUUGUCAUUCUUAAUUUAUCCGCCUUACUAUUCUCAGUCUUGUUUUUUAUUGAGAGACACAACCUUUUCAAUACACUUCUAUUUUAAUUUUUCAUAACAACGGCUGUUUUUUUGUUUCAACUUUGACUCUAUGCUAUUAAAGUAAACCGAGUAUAUUAAAAUAAACCAACUAUAUUCAUAUAUGCCUCAGUAAUUGGUACAACCGAUUUUUAUUGAGAGAGACAACAUUUCAAAACACUUCUAUCUUCAUUUUUCAUACCAACGAAUAUUUUUGUGCUAACAUGUGAGUUGAUUAUUUGGAAAAAAUAUAAUCAUAUAUGUAUUGCCAACAAUUUUUAUGUUUAAAACAACCAAUUUUGUGAAAAGAGUGGAGAGAAAGAUACAUGUGCAAUUUCUUGAUGUUACAGCGGAUGGAUACUCGAUCUUUAAACAUAAGCACAGAUGAAUAGGUACAAAUUCGAGGAAAGGCCAAUGAAAUAGUUGUCUGUACACAUAUGUGCCAGUUUUAUACCUGGUUGUCUGGUUGCAUUAUUUGUCUGGUUUCAAUUCAGUUUGAGUAGAUUGUUAUCUGUGAGCGAUACUUGCUACUAUUUGCACCCAUGCACCAAUUUGCAUACCUAUUUUAGGCACAGAAACCAACCAUGACUGAAAAUCAUGUAUAUAUAAUUUACUAUGAUUCAUGGUGAGAAAAUCAUGAUUUAAUAAACGAAAGGUGGUUUGUUUUGCUAACAGUACUGAGUAUAAAUGUAAAUCGCAGAUCGUACGCUGCUGCUACGGGCUCCAUGUUGUUUAUGCUAGACAACACAACGGUGCUUGUGUUAUCUAUAGUUGAAGUCGCAAUUUAAUAUUCUUUGAUUUAUGCUUGUGUUAUAUGUGGUUGAAGGGACAUCCUUGUUAGUUUGCAUGGUCUAUGUAAGAAGGGGCAGUACAAUGCUUGUCAAGUUUGUUUAUAUUCUGAUGGCUGUUGAAUUCUGGACAAUGGAGACGUGAAUUUGUUACAUACAUAGGUACUAGGCAUAGGAUACUUUACACAUUGAUGACAUGUAGUUUUAGAGAACUUCUGAAAAUUCCAAUUCAGGUUUUCUGUGUUCCAUUCAGGAAGAACACAUAGUCUGCACUGGGGUAUAAAAUUAUCUACUACUUACCUUUGUGUCUCGACAUAUGCUUGUGAUGCAUCGUGCUGCCAGAGGCCAACAUUAUCCAGUAUCAUAGUGAUGCUAAAAAUGCCUAUUGGUUACUCCGCAUAUUCUCAUCUGAUUUCUCAUAUAUAGAUAUUAAUUUCCUUUCAUGGGAGGCCUUCAUUACAUUUCAGCGGCGGUUGCGGAUGUGAUUGGCGGUUGAGGGAGGGUCUCCGACUAGAGCAGCAGGAGCAAGGUGCUCGAGGAAGUUUAGAUUUGCCUCUACAUCCUCUCUCUUUCCUCCACUUUGUUCUUGCAUUUAGAUGAUACAAUUUGUGAUCAUGUGUAUGUGCAUUUAUGAGAUCUUUGCUGCUAGGCACAGAGUUUAUGGUUACUGAAAUUGGGUAAUAGAACAUGGUUGUUGUGCCUUUUUCCCUUGUUCUUUUGAAAUGCAACAUGACAGUAGCCAAUGUCAUGUAUCAGGGUUGUAAACCUAUUAGAUUUGGGAUAGAGGAAAGUAUGAAGAUCUUCUUAUUAUUGCAAAGUAAAAGUUGAUAUUAGUGCAAACUUAGGUGAUCUGGUCCGAAGGGGUAUCUCAGCUUUAUGAGUUGAUAGUAUAUUUGCAUCUAAGAAUAAACCUUAGCUUUUAGAUAGAAUUUAUGAGUGAAAGUAUUCUGGUGUAUACCAUCCUUUGUGCAGGAUUGUCAUGGUUAUUGUGUAUGUCAAUUUUGUUGACAAAAUAGAUCCAAAUGAUAUCUUUUUCGGUGUCUUAUGGUAGAUAUAUUUGGUCCGCUGUUUCAUGCAUCCUUCGGGUUUAUGAUUAAUAUUCCCAGAUAUUUGAACAAAAUUUAGCUAUUAAAUAUACAUCCCAGGAAAUUUACAUUAUUACAGUGGGGCACUCCUUUGCACGGUUUUCAGAAUAAGAGAUUUAACCUGUUUUGCAGUAUCAUUCUCCCUGACGGAUUACAUGUAAGUUGUUGUUCUAAUUACAAGCAAGCUUUCAGCUCAUGGUUGUUAUAUUUUUGUAUUUUCCAUAGGACAAUUUUCUGGAUUAAUAUCUAUACUUGAGAUCUAGGAGUCCACCCGAAUUCAGUCUCCAAGAAGCCGUUCAUCCAGGAUCCACCAAAAUUCAAAUGAUAUGUGAAAAGCGUGUACUAGAUGUGGCCCCUAUCCAGCGUUUUGAUCUGUCCACUCAGGUGCUUUUGUCUAGGUGGUAACACAACAAGCUGCUUAUCUUAUAGAAACUUAUCAUACGUACAGUCCUAUGUUCGUUCUUCUUGCAUGUUAGAGAAAGAGCUUUUGCCCCUAUGUGAGUAAUCCUAUGGGAAUUAGCAACGUUGGCUGUACUUUCAAGCAGGCUGAAUCCGAUGCAAGUUUUUGGAGCAGUUGGGUUCCAGAACAAACGACUAGGUAUUCCCAAAGAAGUCAUUCCACUGGUGGCUAGCAUAAUAUCUUCAUGUCGGGACAACGAUCCAAGCAAGCAACCAUCAUUCUACCAGCUCUUGUCAUCGCUGAAGAAAUUACAGUGGUUACAUUGUUACAGAAAGCCUAUGACAAUUUGCGAGUGUUGUUUGUGCAAUAUACUGGUUUUAUGGCAGGUGCAUGUAUGAAUUCAGAUGGUAGUGGUCUCCUUCUUUACAGUUAUAAGAAUAAUAAAAAUAUUGAUAAUGGUCUUUCCACUA